rnacentral:rRNA from 1 species
UACGAAGGGGGCUAGCGUUGUUCGGAAUUACUGGGCGUAAGGCGCACGUAGGCGGAUAUUUAAGUCAGGGGUGAAAUCCCGGAGCUCAACUCCGGAACUGCCUUUGAUACUGGGUAUCUUGAGUAUGGAAGAGGUAAGUGGAAUUGCGAGUGUAGAGGUGAAAUUCGUAGAUAUUCGCAGGAACACCAGUGGCGAAGGCGGCUUACUGGUCCAUUACUGACGCUGAGGUGCGAAAGCGUGGGGAGCAAACAGG